UACGGAGGGUGCGAGCGUUUGUCCGGAAUCACUGGGCGUAAAGCGCGCGUAGGUCGGCUUUGCAAGUCGGGUGUGAAAUCCCCAGGCUUAACCUGGGAACUGCAUUCGAGACUGCAUUGCUAGAGUAUGGGAGAGGGAAGUGGAAUUUCAGGUGUAGCGGUGAAAUGCGUAGAGAUCCGGAAGAACACCGGUGGCGAAGGCGGUCUGCUGGGGUCGAACUGACGCUGAGGCGCGACAGCGGUGGGGAGCAAAC
rnacentral:rRNA from 1 species